CUACGGGGGGCAGCAGUGGGGGAUAUUGCGCAAUGGGGGCAACCCUGACGCAGCAACGCCGCGUGAAGGAAGAAGGUUUUCGGAUCGUAAACUUCUUUAAGUGUGGAAGAAGAUGACGGUACACACAGAAUAAGCCACGGCUAACUACGUGCCAGCAGCCGCGGUAAUACGUAGGUGGCGAGCGUUGUCCGGAUUUACUGGGUGUAAAGGGCGUGUAGGCGGGUUGUCAAGUCAGAUGUGAAAUACCGGGGCUUAACCCCGGAGCUGCAUUUGAAACUGACAGUCUUGAGUGCCGGAGAGGAAAGCGGAAUUCCUAGUGUAGCGGUGAAAUGCGUAGAUAUUAGGAGGAACACCAGUGGCGAAGGCGGCUUUCUGGACGGUAACUGACGCUGAGGCGCGAAAGCAUGGGGAGCAAACAGGAUUAGAUACCCGAGUAGUC
rnacentral:rRNA from 1 species